GAAUUUUGGACAAUGGGGGAAACCCUGAUCCAGCAAUGCCGCGUGUGCGAAGAAGGCCUUCGGGUUGUAAAGCACUUUUGUCAGGGAAGAAAUCCUUUGGGCUAAUACCCUAGGGGGAUGACGGUACCUGAAGAAUAAGCACCGGCUAACUACGUGCCAGCAGCCGCGGUAAUACGUAGGGUGCAAGCGUUAAUCGGAAUUACUGGGCGUAAAGCGUGCGCAGGCGGUUGUGCAAGACAGGUGUGAAAUCCCCGGGCUUAACCUGGGAACUGCAUUUGUGACUGCACGGCUAGAGUGUGUCAGAGGGGGGUAGAAUUCCACGUGUAGCAGUGAAAUGCGUAGAUAUGUGGAGGAAUACCGAUGGCGAAGGCAGCCCCCUGGGAUAACACUGACGCUCAUGCACGAAAGCGUGGGGAGCAAACAGG
rnacentral:rRNA from 1 species